rnacentral:rRNA from 1 species
AUUGAACGCUGGCGGCAGGCUUAACACAUGCAAGUCGAACGGUAACAUAAAGAAGCUUGCUUCUUUGAUGACGAGUGGCGGACGGGUGAGUAAUGCUUGGGAAUCUAGCUUAUGGAGGGGGAUAACUACGGGAAACUGUAGCUAAUACCGCGUAGAAUCGAGAGAUGAAAGUGUGGGACCUUCGGGCCACAUGCCAUAGGAUGAGCCCAAGUGGGAUUAGGUAGUUGGUGAGGUAAAGGCUCACCAAGCCGACGAUCUCUAGCUGGUCUGAGAGGAUGACCAGCCACACUGGGACUGAGACACGGCCCAGACUCCUACGGGAGGCAGCAGUGGGGAAUAUUGCGCAAUGGGGACAACCCUGACGCAGCCAUGCCGCGUGAAUGAAGAAGGCCUUCGGGUUGUAAAGUUCUUUCGGUAGCGAGGAAGGCAUUUAGUUUAAUAGACUAAGUGAUGGACGUUAACUACA